GAUCGACUGGCCUAGUGGUUAUGGCGUCUGUCUUACACACAGAAGGUCGCAGGUUCGACCCCUGCGUCGAUCA
rnacentral:tRNA from 1 species